rnacentral:lncRNA from 1 species
AUUGUUCUCUUAUUAAAAUAUAUGCAAGAUUUUAUUGGAGGCUAUUUUUCUAAAAAAAUGUUAGUGCUAAUAAGCUUAGGUUAAUAAACAAAUUUUCCUCACUUGGUAACUUCUGCCGUGAAAUAUCAUAUCUCCAUGCAUUUUUAAAUAUACAACUAUUGGAACAAGCUAAUUAAUUUAUUUUUAAACUAAUUAGUACUAAACAUUAUAUAUUUAAAACAUAUGUGGUAUUUUCAUUCUGUCCAACAAUACAAUUCAAUGACAAAAUUGCAUCCACUAACACUAACACUAUCAGUGAAAGUCACAGGACAAAGACUCCACGGAUAACAACACUUUUUUUUAUAUAUUUUUGGAUAAAAAUAGAGCUAUUGUUUGUCCUAAUUUUCUAUUUUUAUUUUGAAGCCUCAUGCAUUCAUUAAACACUUGCUCUAGUUUAUUUGUUCUAAUUGCUUCAACUUUUCGAAUAAUUCACGUAAAAAUUCGAGAUAGAAUCAAGUAAGUCUCACUCGCCCAUUAGACCAUCUCAACCCCCAACCACCCUAUCCCUUCA